UCUUACGAGUGGGCAAAGAAAGUGGUUUCGUGAGAUGGAAUCUACUCCUGGUAAAGAUGCUGGGAA
rnacentral:pre_miRNA from 1 species